AUGGUAGGUGUUGAUAGGAGUGAUUCUUUUGAGUAUCUUAUUGACAGAAUAAAUCAAUUGGUUAUUGGAUGGAAGGAGAAGAUGCUUUCCUCUGGUGGUAAAGAAACGCUUAUUAAGGCUGUUGCUCAAGCUAUGCCGGUAUUUGCGAUGUCUGUGUUCAAAAUUCCGAAGAAAAUCUGCAAAGGAAUGACGGAUGCAAUAUCAAAGUACUGGUGGGGUGACGAUGACAACCACAAGCGCAUACAUUGGGCGUCAUGGUGGAAACUAUGUGUGCCUAAAGAUAGAGGAGGGCUGGGAUUCAGGGAUUUACAUAGCUUCAACCUUGCUUUACUAGCCAAACAAGUCUGUAGGCUGCUGGAAAACCCUGGCUCUCUUUGUGCACAGAUUCUGAGGGCCAAAUAUUAUCCAUAUGGAAAACUUUUAGAUGCUAAAUUGAAGAGUGGGAGCUCGUAUACAUGGCAAAGUAUUUAUGCUGGGAUUAACACGUUCAGGAGAGGUGCAAUAUGGCGCAUAGGAGAUGGCUCACAAGUGAAUAUUUGGUCUGAUUCGUGGAUUCAAUCUAGUGCUGAUGGUCGUGUUAUUACUCCACGAGGUACGACUUUGCUGUCUAAAGUAUCAGAACUCAUUGAUCCGGUCACUGGUCUAUGGGACCAAGAAUUGAUACAUAGUGUGUUCUGGCCGGUGGAUGCCCACCGAAUCUUGUCAAUACCACUGGCACCGAAUGGAAUGAUGGAAGACUUUCUGGCCCGGAGAUUCACAAAGAACCACAUUUUUCGGUAA
rnacentral:rRNA from 1 species